UGGACCAAUGAGGAUCGCUGAUGGUAUAUGCGUUAUUGUAUACGAUGAAUAUGUGUCUGGAACUCUGAGGGUUCCGU
rnacentral:snoRNA from 1 species